CCAAGAACUCUUUUUCCUCGUGAAGAACUGUUUUCGCUCAAACAGUGUCGCCCCCUGGCGCACCAGAAAGGCGACCGGGCGAUGAAGAACGUUUGCCUGGAAAGAAGUUCUUCAUAACGUUUUUGUUUUUUUUUGUUUGUUUUGUUUUCGAAGAAGCGGCUGCGCGCGAAGGAGUGCCGGUGGUGCCGCUGCGCCGCGCCGUUUGCCUGCGUGAGAUCUUGUAAAGGCGAAAGUAACGGCGGCCAACAAUUCGGGGUUCGCUGUUUACUGUUUCGACCUGGUUCUGUCGGCGGCAUUCAAUGGGUGGGGUCACGGUGCGAGAACAUACAAAUGUGUCUAGAUGGAAGCUCCAGGACGUGUCAGAUUGGUUGACAAAGCAAAACCUUGGAGACUUCGCCCAAAAAUUCGAAGGUAAGCAGAAUGCUCCGUCCUCUUUGUUUGUGUUGGUUGGCGGCGUCGGUUUCGUCUCGCGUUUUCAGUUUCCAAGUUUAGUGCCGGUAACGGUGACUGAUCGGGGUCUCGAUGGCGCUAUCCUUCCAUACUUCCAUGUGCACGCGAAUAUUUUUUUAUGAAACUUGUAGUGCAGUGUGGAUAUUUGGACAUGUGUUGUGAGCGAGGAAGUGCUUCCGGGUCUUUCGGCGAUUGGUGAGAUUUGUCCUUGUUUGUGCGAUUUCAGCAUGAGCGGAUACGAGUGUUGAAAGUUUUCGCAGUGCUACCACAUUGGGAGUCAUCUGACAAAUCAUGUCCAGAUAACUCUUGGUGACCCGGACUUUAAUUCUGUUUGCAAGUUGGAAGAGGUUGAUGGGAAGACAUUACUAAGCUUGUCAGUGUGGAUGAUUGAGCAGUUUCUCCCUGCUAUGAAACUGCGAGUCAGACUGCUAAAACUGAUUGAACAGCUAAAAGGAGACAUAAAAGAAAGCUUGCCUGGACCCUCCAAUGUGCCUCGUGCUAGUAACACAGCAGCCUCAGUUUGGUCUACAGAGGUUGUGAGAAACGUAUGGCCACAGAGAUAUACUCUUCCAGAAUUUCCCCCGCUACUGUUACAGAGGCUGUGUGAAAAGAGUGAACGUUUCCUUCAACCACAGCGAAAUGAAGCACGAACAAAGUUGGUCGCUGCGUUGGCAGACGACAUUCUGAGCAAAACUCCGAAAGCAGCAGCAUUUGAAAUCCUCACUUAUAUAUCUUAAAAUAGAGGCUAACAUUUGUUGUUUUUUCUUUCCAGAACGCCAAGUCGGUCUUAGCUAGAUGAUGUCAUGCGUGCCCUCCAAGCGGCAUACCCCUUCCUGGCCGACUCCACUGUACGCUGCGUAAGAUUUACAAGAACUUUUUUUCAUACUGACAAUUGAAAUGCUUUUAUCGAAGUUAAUUAUAUGCAUUGUAACAGGCUUGCUACUCAUCAGUUUCACUGUAGGAUUCACUGCGACACAGCCUUAUUAACAAAAUGAAAAAAAGAAAGGUUGCUUCUUAUGCAUCUGCCAGAAGUUCAGCAAAACAAGGAAAACUAUGGCAAAGGUGGUGGGCGAAAGCGAAAGGAAAAACGCCAGCAGUGACUGUAUUCAAAAAUACAAAAGGACCAUGGUUCCACAUCAUGAAGUAGAAGGUACCGACAACUGUGCAGACCACAUAGAGAUUAUGGCUGCUGAAUGCCCCAAGGCUGCAACAGAUGUGAAGCUCUUACUUCAAACAAUAGCACAGACGUCACAGGCAAGGAGGGUAGGCAUCGCUGGCAAGACCAUCACUGAUGUUAUUUAGCUGUACCCGGCCCUCUGCAUUCCCGAAGUGGUAAUUCUAACGCCUUUCCCACUAAACUUUCAAAGCAAUAGACAGCCUGAUUGGUGGAUCAGUUUUGUCUCGUUUUGAGUUACUUCAAACCUAAAAAGGGUAUACUAAGAGACUUAGGCACUGUCUAAAUUCAGCUAACAGCCUGGUUUGCAGCUGCCUACUUGCAGUGCCGUUGUGAUCUUUGUCUGGGUUUAACACCUGUUUGUGCCAUGCGCCCUCGCAGUGUGUGGUUGGAGAGAGGCAUCAUGAGAAGGAAGGGGCAAGUCUUGUUUUGCCGCAAUUCCAUUUUUCCUGCUUCCACACCUGAGUGGUUACCUUGUCCAUCUCGUCUCCAAGAUAGCAUUUUUAUCUAUAAAGUAUAUCUCAACAAGAAAGGGUUUUGAAGUUUUUUCAAGUCAGUUUUUGUUUUCUUUUUUUA